UACGGAGGGUGCAAGCGUUAUCCGGAUUCACUGGGUUUAAAGCGUGCGUAGGCGGUUCGUUAAGUUCGUUGUGAAAGCCCCGGGCUCAACCUGGGAACUGCAAUGGAAACUGGCGGGCUUGAGUGUGGCAGAGGGGGGUGGAAUUCCGCGUGUAGCAGUGAAAUGCGUAGAGAUGCGGAGGAACACCGAUGGCGAAGGCAGCCCCCUGGGCCAACACUGACGCUCAGGCACGAAAGCGUGGGGAGCAAACAGG
rnacentral:rRNA from 1 species